GCGGAUGGAGCUGAAGCCAGUCGAAGAUACCAGCUGGCUGCAACUGUUUAAUAAAAACACAGCACUGUGCAAACACGAAAGUGGACGUAUACGGUGUGACGCCUGCCCGGUGCUGGAAGGUUAAUUGAUGGGGUCAGCCGCAAGGCGAAGCUCUUGAUCGAAGCCCCAGUAAACGGCGGCCGUAACUAUAACGGUCCUAAGGUAGCGAAAUUCCUUGUCGGGUAAGUUCCGACCUGCACGAAUGGCGUAAUGAUGGCCAGGCUGUCUCCACCCGAGACUCAGUGAAAUUGAACUCGCUGUGAAGAUGCAGUGUACCCGCGGCAAGACGGAAAGACCCCGUGAACCUUUACUAUAGCUUGACACUGAACAUUGAGCCUUGAUGUGUAGGAUAGGUGGGAGGCUUUGAAGCGUGGACGCCAGUCUGCGUGGAGCCAUCCUUGAAAUACCACCCUUUAAUGUUUGAUGUUCUAACUCGGCCCCGUAAUCCGGGGUGAGGACAGUGUCUGGUGGGUAGUUUGACUGGGGCGGUCUCCUCCCAAAGAGUAACGGAGGAGCACGAAGGUUAGCUAAUCACGGUCGGACAUCGUGAGGUUAGUGCAAAGGCAUAAGCUAGCUUGACUGCGAGAGUGACGGCUCGAGCAGGUACGAAAGUAGGUCUUAGUGAUCCGGUGGUUCUGAAUGGAAGGGCCAUCGCUCAACGGAUAAAAGGUACUCCGGGGAUAACAGGCUGAUACCGCCCAAGAGUUCAUAUCGACGGCGGUGUUUGGCACCUCGAUGUCGGCUCAUCACAUCCUGGGGCUGAAGUAGGUCCCAAGGGUAUGGCUGUUCGCCAUUUAAAGUGGUACGCGAGCUGGGUUUAGAACGUCGUGAGACAGUUCGGUCCCUAUCUGCCGUGGGCGUUGGAAGAUUGAGAGGGGUUGCUCCUAGUACGAGAGGACCGGAGUGAACGCACCACUGGUGUUCGGGUUGUCAUGCCAAUGGCAUUGCCCGGUAGCUAAGUGCGGAAAAGAUAAGCGCUGAAAGCAUCUAAGCGCGAAACUUGCCUCAAGAUGAGUCUUCCCUGGGCCUUUAAGGCCCCUGAAGGAACGUUUAAGACUAAGACGUUGAUAGGCUGGGUGUGUAAGUGCAGCGAUGCAUUGAGCUAACCAGUACUAAUGAUCCGUGAGGCUUAACCUU
rnacentral:rRNA from 1 species